GGAGACCCGUUCUGGAGAGAAAGGGCUGAGAACCCGGAGGCGGCGGCGGCGGCGGCGAGCCGGGGCUGCUGGUUCGCAGGGCGGCUAGCUCGCGAGGAGGCGCGGCCAGAGCGGUGGGACCGGUAACACCAAGAGCCGAGAAGACGCAGGGACCCGGGACCGCGCGCGGGAGGAAACGCGGCGGCCGCCCAAGCUGUCACCUCCAGCCUCUCCCCUCUCGGCCGCCUCUGCCAGCAGCCAGAGCCGGACUCACUGACAAGCCGCAGAGAGAGACACACUGAGAGGGAGAUGAUUAUUAGUUGCGUUGAGUCAUCAGGCAAAGACCCCGAGGGCUCUCCCACAUCUCCCGCAGCAAGAGCCACCGAUCCCCCUUAAGAAGCGUUGACUGUACGGCGGCGCCAGAGGGCCAAACUAAGUUCGGUUUCGGGAAACGCUCUCGGGAGCAGUUCUGUAAAUCCCUGCUGGGAGCAGAGACUGCGAAAAGCUGAGUCCGCCGAUCGUGCCCGGGACAAGGCUGCCUUCCACUCGCCCUCGCCGCAUCUACCUGGUAGGCGGCAUGCGCACGGGCUUAGAGGCUUGAGAGCCUCUGGAAGAGAAAGGGUCCCAGGAAGGAAACCUGCCCCCGGCCUAAGUGUCGGCGCCCAGAUCACCACGAACCCCGCACCUAGGCGCCGCCCACCAAGUUCCAAAGAAGUCCGAGGCGACCUGGGAGUCGGUCGGAUCCCAGCCGAGAAAAGAAACAAGCAGGAUAGCAAUUCUUAGGGGAGCCACCCUGGGAGUUUUAGGCAGCGUUUGCCUUUCCCUGGUUUUCUUCACCAAGCCCCAUCCUCCCCCCGCAUACCACCCCCAGUCAAAAGAGUGGGAGAAAAUGCACAGUUCGAAGUCGGUGAGAGCAAAAAUGGGUCUAGUAAAUCAACCCGUGGUGGUAGCUAAAAGGUUUGGGGCUGCAAAGAAACAAACUGUAAGUUUUGAGCAACAAACUUUUUCUUCAAUCUGUAAUAUGUCGAAAUGGGAAGGGGGUGUUGCAAAAGCCAACUACCACUGUCAAACUUAGCCCGUUUACAACAUGGGGAAAGGCGUAUUUCUUACUAAUAUCUCAACAACGAUAACAAUGCUGUAUCCUUCCUUACCUUGAUGUUGAACUGCGAAUCCUCCUCCGGAUCAAUGUCCAGGAACUUAGAAGAAUUGGUGAUAUUAGGAGUUCAGUACUUCUGGAAAAAAAUGCAAAUGGUUUAGCCAGGAUCUUUCCUGUCUGAUUCGUCACUAUUAUUAUAUCUGAUGAUGCGAAUGGUUGGAGCGAUUCAAUCCUAAGUCAUUAAUGAGCUAUUUUAUAAACACCACUGUCUGAAGAUCUUCAUUUACAUUUUGCUAAGGAUCACUUCGCUAACCUCACAGGCUUGUGUCAACAGCAUGAUUUGCAGGACUUCAGUUACACUCUUAUAAACAACACGGCUGUAUUGUUAAUCGGUUAAUAUUUUAUAAAGUGUAAAUAUUUUAUUAUGUUUUGAAGGGAACUAUUGAUUCUAAAUUAUUAAACCCCUGAGAAGGACUAUUUAAAUGAAAUAUACAAUUAAGUACAAUUAAAUGUACAUUGUGGUUAGUUUGUUUUCAGAUUCUGCACCCUUUUAAAUUCAUUGCUUUUCUCUUUACUGGAGUUUCCUCUUGUCCAUUUCUGAUACUGAAAAAAAUCUAUCAUGUUAGGAAAAAGCCUAAAUUAUUUAAAGUUGCAUUAAACUUAGAGGAAAAUGUCAAAUACGAUUAAUUAUGACCAGAAAUGUAUUUUGGAUGUUUGUAGAGUUGUAUUUCAUAUCACAUUUUACAAAUUUCUUCCGAUUUAAAGGAGAGUUCUAGGAAGUUUUGUGAUCUAUGUCCGGUGUGGGUUUUUGUCCUCUCGAGUUUUGUCUCUAAUAAAGGCCUUUUUUGUUUCAAAUUACAUACGCUUUUUACUGCACAAUUUUUGUAUUGACCUUAUUUCAACUGAAGCGAUUAUUUCCAGCAGGUUUAAUUUCGACAAUAAGAUAUAUUUUAAUAGUUUUACCUUUCGCUAGAAUUUUGUAUUGUUUAAAACAGUAAAUGAAUAAAUUUGCUGAUGAUUCAA
ensembl:lncRNA SATB2-AS1 SATB2 antisense RNA 1